UACGUAGGGUGCAAGCGUUGUCCGGAAUUAUUGGGCGUAAAGAGCUCGUAGGCGGUCUGUUGCGUCGGCUGUGAAAACCCGGGGCUCAACUCCGGGCCUGCAGCCGAUACGGGCAGACUAGAGUUCGGCAGGGGAGACUGGAAUUCCUGGUGUAGCGGUGAAAUGCGCAGAUAUCAGGAGGAACACCAAUGGCGAAGGCAGAUCUCUGGGCCGUAACUGACGCUGAGGAGCGAAAGCAUGGGGAGCGAACAGG
rnacentral:rRNA from 1 species